UACGUAGGGGGCGAGCGUUACCCGGAAUCACUGGGCGUAAAGGGAGCGUAGGUGGCCUAACAUGUCAACUGUGAAAACCCGGAGCUCAACUCCGGACUUGCAGUUGAACCUGGUAGGCUUGAGGACGGUAGAGGAAGACGGAACUGCCAGUGUAGGGGUAAAAUCCUUAGAUAUUGGCAGGAACGCCGGUGACGAAGGUGGUUUUCUGGGCCGGUUCUGACACUGAUGCUCGAAAGCCAGGGGAGCGAACGGG
rnacentral:rRNA from 1 species